GGAUUCCGGAUGUCAGUAUGGAUGCAUCGCUUGAUGUGGGAUUAGAGCAGAAUGGUUCUUCGACUAGCUUGGAUCUUGACUUAGAACACUAUGUUGUUCCAUCUCCAAAAGGCUCCUAUUCCAUCUAUGCAGCUAAUCUGACAGAGACUCCUCGGUAUUUGGGGCGUACAGGGAUAUUAUCAAAAAAUGAUGUCUCAAGCAGUGUUUUACGUGAU
rnacentral:misc_RNA from 1 species